GGGGAUUUAGCUCAGUGGUAGAGCACUUGCCUAGCAAGCACAAGGCCCUGGGUUCAAUCCUCAGCUCCA
rnacentral:tRNA from 1 species